rnacentral:rRNA from 1 species
UACGGAGGGUGCAAGCGUUAUCCGGAUUCACUGGGUUUAAAGGGUGCGUAGGUGGGAAUGUAAGUCAGUGGUGAAAUCUCCGUGCUUAACAUGGAAACUGCCAUUGAUACUAUAGGUCUUGAAUUUUCUGGAGGUAAGCGGAAUAUGUCAUGUAGCGGUGAAAUGCUUAGAUAUGACAUAGAACACCAAUUGCGAAGGCAGCUUGCUACAGGAAUAUUGACACUGAGGCACGAAAGCGUGGGGAUCAAACAGG